CAUACACGAACACUGCUUCUUAUGGCCAAUUUCUUCACCGUCGGAUAACUCUAUCCUUCGGUUAACCUCACUCUUCAUCUUUUUCUAAGGAGGCAGUUAGAAAGAGAUGAAGAGUGAGGUUAACCGAAGGAUAAAGUUAUCCAACGAUGAAGAAAUUGGCCCUUAGGAAGCUUUCUCUGUUUUUUUUUUGUCUGCCUCUUCUCUGUUUCUUUUUUCUCUACCUGCCUCUUUAUCUGUUUGUCUUUGUCUUUUUUCUCUUUGUGCUUUUCUUUCUUUCUUUUUCUUUACCUGUCUUUCUCUUUGGCUGCGUUCGUUUUGGGCGCUCACGCGGUGUAAGCUUCAUUAUAUCUUUAUCGCUCACUAUAUGCAGAAGGAAGAUAGAAUAAAGCUUACAGCAUGGAGGCUCUGAUAGUUUUCACCAGUUCCAUUAGCUAAUCGGACCUCAACGUGUUACAACCUGCUACAUGGUUCUGUUGUUUCCAUCAGUUUAAAUCAGUUAAUCAUGUCAUGACUGAUUCACUGGCGAAAAUUUAUUCCUGGUCUGGGCAGCGUAAAACACUGAAGUUCAGUUCAACUGUAAUUUGUCAAUUGAUUAUCAAAACUAUUUCCAAGCAAACAGAUGCGACCAGAACGAGCAUCAAAGAAAUUAUUAAAUCGUGGUUGCAACAUGCAACGGACAGGAUGCGAUAACUAAUUGCGAUAAGUUUCUAUAACUAAAGUUUCUAUAAGUUUUACUAGUUUUUAUAAGUUGUACAGUUGUACACUAUAAGUAAAUUCAUAAUAAGUUUAUAUAUAUUAUAGUUCAUAUAUUAUAUAACUGUUUUUAUAAUAAGUUCAAUAAAUAAUAAG